rnacentral:antisense_RNA from 1 species
AAGGGGAGUACCUCCCAGCCUCACCUCCCCUGCCCACCAAUUCCCCUCUACCUAAGGCAGCAGCGCUCAGAAGCUGGGGGACAGGGACAUAGGAUGUCUGGUCUGAAUGGGGAGUUCAAAAGCCCUCUGCUGGGGCCUGAACUGCCUCAGGGAGUUCCAUUGCCUUCAAUGCAACAGAUGUCUAGGUCUUGGCAGGAUCUAGUUGGGGGACUGCUUCUGAGCCAUGCAGAACCCACUCUGGGGUGGGUGGGGGGCCCUAAGCACUAUCGUUUCCCUGCCUAGGUGGCUCCAGAAGGAGGAAGCAUCCACCCAGCAUUGGGAAAGGGCUGCCUGUGAAAGUGAGGCCCCCUCUGUCCCCUCCAUUGGCUUCCUGCCCAGGUCGAGGGGAGAAUUCAAGGCCCCUUGGGCAUCUGCCCUUGGGUUCUUGAAGGGACUAAAGUUGGUGCCUAGACGCCUGACUUGGGGGUGUUCCCCAGCGUGGCAUGCCUCAGGCCACAGAGGCCAGGGUCUCUAGGGCAGAGCCACAAUCCACACUGAAUAGGACCCCGUAA